rnacentral:rRNA from 1 species
UACGAGGGGGGCAAGCGUUGUUCGGAAUUACUGGGCGUAAAGGGCGCGUAGGCGGUGUGUCAAGUCAGGCGUGAAAGCCCCGGGCUCAACCUGGGAACAGCGCUUGAGACUGGCACGCUCGAGUUCGGGAGAGGAUGGUGGAAUUCCCAGUGUAGAGGUGAAAUUCGUAGAUAUUGGGAAGAACACCGGUGGCGAAGGCGGCUCACUGGCUCGUUUCUGACGCUCAGGCGCGACAGCGUGGGGAUCAAACAGG